rnacentral:ncRNA from 1 species
UUUCCCUCAGGAUAGCUGGCAUUCUGAGAAAUAAACAGUUUUAUCCGGUAAAGCGAAUGAUUAGAGGCAUUGGGGAUAAAUCAUCCUCAACCUAUUCUCAGAUGCACCACUGACAAUGGUGGUUGUGUCGCUCAAUUUCGUGGAUUAGUUGAAGUCAGAUAUCA